rnacentral:rRNA from 1 species
AUGGAUCGCUAUUCAACAAAAAAUUCGGAAGGCACUCCAUAUUCUCCCCUCCAGCCUGUGUAUUUGGAGGCAGGGGAAGAUUUCGGAGGGUGUUCAUCCAUGGGAUUUCUGGCGGGAGGGAAGUUCCUCCUCCGGCUUGAGCCCGCCUUGACGCUGGGAUUUCUGGCGGGAGGGAAGUUCCACCUCCGGCUUGAGCCCGCCUUGACGCUGCACGUGCAAUUCCAUUGCUGCUACCCAUCCCACAUUGCUGCUCAACCUCGUGGCCCUAUCUUUGACGUUGCCUACGCGCUCCCCUUCAUUUUGCUGCGGUUAGCGAGCUCGACGUCCCCACCAUUGUUGGCCUCGUGGAGUUGCGCCUCACUGCGUCGGCAGUAG